rnacentral:rRNA from 1 species
CGAUUGCAUAUCAAUAAGCGGAGGAAAGGAAAUUAACGAAGAUUUCCUUAGUAACGGCGAGUGAAAAGGAAAUAGUCCAGCGCCGAAUCCCUUAGCCGACGGUUAAGGGACCUGUGGCAUGUAGGAGAGCCUAUCCGUCGGGUUAUCGGCUUCGGAAUCGCCCUUGAAUGGGAGUCCAAAGCGGGUGCGAGACCCGUAACGAAGUCGCGCCCGUCGGUUAGAGCCUCCUUAGAGUCGGGUUACUUGAGAGUGUAGCCCAAAGCGGAAGGUAAACCCCUUCUAAGACUAAAUACGACCGCGAGACCGAUAGCGAACAAGUACCGCGAGGGAAAGUUGAAAAGAACUUUGAAGAGAGAGUUCAAAAGGGCGUGAAACCGCUUAGAAUAAAACGGACGGAGCCGUUAGUGGCCCGGCGGAAUCAGUCGUAUGACGCGCGAUAACGCGUUAUUCGCUAGAGCGAAAGUCUAGCGGGCGCGUUAGUAAAUAGUAGCGUUCAUUCGAUGCAUUUCCGUCGGGUAAGCGUCGCGACCGAUGCGAAAGACUAUCGAAACCGGCGAAUUGAGGUCGAGAUACGCUCCUUGUGGGUUAUUUCGUAACCAGUUUGUCGGUCGUCAUCGAUAGAUAAACGCAUCGAGCGUCAGUAAAUUAGUAACGCCGGCGUAAACGCUCGCUUAAGCGAUGGAAAGUCGACGGAUCGGUCGACGCCUGCUCGCAGGCUUCGAUUUUGAUCUUUGUUUGGCGUUUGAAAUCGCAAGCGACGCAUUACGGCGUUAUGGCGUCAGCGACGUCCGAGACGGUCAACCGUCCGACCCGUCUUGAAACACGGACC